CCCUCACCCGCCUGGGGCUGAGCGCUGUGCCUCGCCUCGGAGUUGGCAGCCAGGACACCGCUCUGAGGUUCCGGACUCCGCGCCAAGGGACCCCACGGCGCACGCAGCUGCUGUCCACGGGCAACGGCCUCGGCGAGCUUCAUACCCGCCUCCCGGGGCCACCGCGCUCCAGGUCCCCCUGACUGGCCAUGCCCACCCGGCAGCUGCUGCACCGCUCCCUGGCCUGUCUUCCACCGGGGUUUCUGUCUCGCUGCUUAGCUUAUGCGAUCCAGGAGGCUCCAAGCUCCUCAGUGUUGGGCAGGACUCUCAGAUGGAGCCAGCACUGGGCACUGGGAACUCCAAGAGGCUUGGCCAUUCCGGACAGCUAAGAUCUGUCAUCCAGGGUGCAACCUGACCCUCCUCCAUCACCACCCCGGCGAGAAAGAAGUUCCCCCCAUGAGCUCCGUUCCAUCCAGAGUACCUAGAUGCCAGCCCAAAGAAGACUGAGCGAGCCCUGGGGAGGAGGAAGGGACAGCCGAAGAUGGAGGAUGGCCAAAUAGUGACCCAAGCGUAGAAGCGCCCAUCACAUGCAGGCAAUGGAGUGUGCCAUCAGCAUCGUCUGGGGAAGCGACCCAAUGCUUUUUCCUUGCUCUGGGGGCCUGGGCCUCUGCAGGAAACCUGCAUUCCUUCCAACCACCCGGGAGCCACCCGGAGUAAGAAGGCGAAGUUGGCCCCUGUGAGCUCAGGCGUCAGAAGUCGUGCCUUCCCCAGCUCAUGGAGCCGGCCCUGCUGGGGGGCUCCUGCCUCUUGUUUUUGUUGUUGUUGUUGUUGUUGUUGUUUUGUUUUGACAGGCAGAGUUAGAUAGUGAGAGAGAGAGAGAGAGAGAAAGGUCUUCCUUCCAUUGGUUCACCCCCAAAGUGGCCGCUAUGGCAGGUGCACUGCGCUGAUCCAAAGCCAGGAGCCAGGUGCUUCUCCUGGUCUCCCAUGGGGUGCAGGGCCCAAGCACUUGGGCCAUCCUCCAUCACUCCUGGGCCACAGCAGAGAACUGGACUGGAAGAGGAGCAACCAGGACAGAAUCCAGUGCCCCAACUGGGACUAGAACCCAGGGUGCCAGCGCCACAAGGCGGAGGAUUAGCCUAGUGAGCCGCGGCACCAGCCGGCUCCUGCCUCUUUAGGAGAGUGGUGCAGGGACUUUGGGAUCCAGCCACAAUGGGUUCAGAAAGUUUAGCCAAGGAAAAGUUCCUGAAGGCCAUUGGUCCAGUUCUCCAACCCCACUGAAGACAGAGGAGAGGAAGGAAGGAAGGCUACAGAUGUGCUGUCAAACAGAAAUUCUCCACCCACUCCUGCCAGAUGCGGGCUCUGUUAACAAAAUUCCUCUGCCCCUGUACCAACCCCACGCCAUAUGCUGAUCCUGAAAUGAUGGGAUGAGACACUCAAUCCUUAUUUUUUUUUUCUUUUUGCUGUUCUGGCCAUUUCUUUCUUGAAGUUCAGUAUUUUUGUUAAGAAUUCCACUUUCAAGUGGAAAUAGAGCCCAUUUGAAUUCUGGUCUUUUCGCUACAAGUCUUUACUCUGAUCUUCAAAGUAUCUUACUGUCAGGAGAAAUUAAAACUCGGAUGUGUUCUGAUGGACAACCGAAGACCAGAGGAGAAAGCAGCUGUUUCCGUUUUCUCCAAGUCUACCACCCGCAGGACUGAGUCCUCCACCCCUAUGGAUAUGGAGUCCCUCUCUUUUCCUUACAGAUUCCUUUAGUCACUGCCACAAAUUCCCGUCUUCACCAGUGAGCUCGGCAUGGCCUCUGCGGUCACUGUCACCAGUGCAGCCAGACUCUGUGGACUCGGCCAAGUGUGAUUUGUGAGGACAGAUCCGUGCAGGAACCAUCACCGGUGCCAAACUGAAGAUAGAGCCAACGCAGGAGGGACCUGAGGUGCACCAGGAAGUCAGAUGGGAGAUCAUGAGGCAUGUUUACACGUUCCCCAGAUGUCCUGGGUGCUGGCAUUACGCAGGUCUGUGAAGUUCCGCCGGUGAGAGUACCAGCACAGAGGACCUUCCCGUUCCCCUCAGCACCUGUGAGUUUACCUUCAGCUUCAGGUGAGCACAGUAUCUUAUACACAGCAGGCUCCUCCCUCCAGUGGCUGGAUCUCUGAAAAAAAGACUAAAAUCCAUUCAAAUGCAAUAAUAAAAAAUGUAGUGUCAUCAUUCAAACAGAAAAGGACACAUAUUAAAAAUACGAGGCAGGGCCGGCACUGUGGUGCAGUGGGCUAAGCCGCAGCCUGCACGGCCAGCAUCCCAUAUAGGUGCCAGUUCUAGACCUAGCUGCUCCACUUCUGAUCCAGCUCCCUACUGAUGUGCCUGGGAAAACACCAGAAGAUGGCCCAAGUCCUUGGGCCCCGCACCCAUGCGGGAGACGUGGAAGAAGAUCCUGGCUCCUGGCUUCAGAUCAGUUUAGCUCCAGUUGUGGCCAUUUGAGGAGUGAACCAGUGGAUGGAAGAUCUCUCUCUCUCUCUCUCUCUCUCUCUCUCUCUCUCUGCCUCUCUGCCUCUCUGUAACUCUUUCAAAUAAGUAAAUCUUUUUUUUUAAAUAUUCCUUCUUGCAUGAAGAAGUCUAUAUUAAUUAAGUCUAUAUUCCUUCAACUGAUUGGAUAUGGCCCACCCCAAAUCAUAAAGGCUAAUGUGCUUUACUCAAAGACCACUGAUUUCAACGUUAAUCUUAUCCAAAAAAUGCCUGUGCAGAAGCAGCCAGAGUAUUAUCUGGCCAAUUACAAAAUCAACAUGAAGGGAGUAGGCAGGAAGCCCUCUCCCUGUAGUUUCCAGGUUAACGGAGUUCAGAGGGAGAGGAGCAGUCUGCACGUACACAGCCGCUGUACCUGGGAAAGCCUGCAGAACACAGCGGAUGGACACGCGUGGAGAGCUGGGAAUCAAUUCCAAGGCCGGAAGCCUGCUGCUACCAUCAAGCAGAAUCCUAUUCCGUCCUCAAAUGUUAUUGAGCUGACAACAGGAGACAGUGUGAUGUGGGCUUAAUAAAAGCUGGGUUGGAAGGCAAAGGGAAUCUUACAUUUGCCUGAAUUCAGCUUUGCUGCUACAUAAACAAAAAGAACUACGCCGUAAAAGCUCCAGGCAGUUCAGAGAUGUUGCUCCCCGUCUUCGUGGAGGAACGACACAGGACCCUGCGCUGUUCUUUCGUCUGCUCGGCCCUCCCCGGGUUUGCUGCUGGUUCUUCCCGGGUUGGCUGCCGUCCCUUCCACCUCCGUGGAAGGGCGGUUCCCCCUGCCACAUUCCCCACUUCCGCGGGGGAGCGGCACACCGCCGGCCGGCUCUCUCGGGGGCUGCACAGGUGUUCCUUCAGAUGUUCCCCUUAGAUGUUCCUGGUGCAUGUUGUCUCUCUCCUCCUUUAUAGUCCUCCUCCACCAAUCCCAACUCUGCUACCCACACGCCGAGUACGCUGCUCUCCUCCAAUCAGGAGCAGGUCCUGCAGCUUGUCAAGUUGGUGAGAGGCAGCUGGGUAGAAGCUGUUGCCUCCUCUCCCAGCGCCAUAUUGUGGGAGAGCAGAUGCAUAGAAUAAGUCUUAAUUCCAUUAACUUAGUCUAGUCCGAGUUGCUCCCCACAAGAGAAAUGUUACUGGAAAAGUAAUCAAGAAGAGUAAAAAAACUGUAAUGCAUGGUAGGACAGAAAGAUACAUGUCUUUUAAAUUUAGGUAAUAGUUGUUUAAUUAGCCUGAUUGUAUUUAUUUUCUUUUUCAAAGAAAAUCUUUUUUUUAAUAUUUUUCAUUUAUUCAUUUGAUAGGUAGAGUUACGGACAGAGGGAGAGACAGAGAGAGGGCUUCCAUCUGCUGGUUCACUCCCCAGAUGGCCGCAAUGGCUGGAGCUGAACUGAUCCAAAGCCAGGAGCCAGGAGCUUCUUCCAGGUCUCCCACACGGGUGCAGGGGCCCAGGGACUUGGUCCAUCUUCUACUGCUUUCCCAGGCCAUAGCAGAGAGCUGGAUCAGAAGUGGAGCAGCCAGGAUUCAAACAGGUGUCCAUAUGAGAUGCCAGCGCCAGCCCCUCAAGAAAAAUCUUAAGACUACACAACACUAUAGCCUAUAAUUUUAUUUUUAUUUUUAAAGAUUUAUUUAUUUACUUGAAAGUCAGAAUUACACAGAGAGCAAAGGAGAGGCAGAGAGAGAGAGAGAGAGAGAGAGAGAGAGAGAGAGGUCUUCCAUCGGCUGGUUCACUCCCCAGUUGGCCACAAUGGCCGGAGCCGCGCGGAUCUGAAGCCAGGAGCCAGGAGCUUCUUCCAGGUCUCCCACGUGGGUGCAGGGGCCCAAGGACUUGGACCAUCUUCUGCUUUCCCUAGCAGUGAGCUGGAUUGGAAGUGGAGCAGCCGGGACUAGAACCGGAGCCCAUAUGGGAUGCCGGCACUUCAGGCCAGGGUGUUAACCCGUUACGCCACAGCGCCGGCCCCUAGCCUAUAAUUUUAAUAUCUAAUAAAAAUUAAAUCGCUUUAUCAGAGGGCGGCUACAUUUCCCUCACAUGUUUAGUCUAUUAUUAGCAAUACCAGGUUACAUUCGCCUACUAAUAUUUUAUUGAAUAACAUAAGUUAUUCUGAAUAGCUACCAUAUUUUCAGGUUAACGUCAGGACACAUUUUAGUACCUAUUACAGGAUUUUUUGUCAUCUCCCAGCUCCGAGUUCCGCGGCCAGCGCUACAGGCGCUCCUGCGCCUGCGCACUCCCAGUCCCCAGGGCGCCGGGUGGGCAGUCCUUGCGCGGCCGUUUUACGCCUCUGGACUACAUUUCCCAAAGGCCACUGAGGCCAGGCCAAUUUAGCUUGGAACUACAUUUCCCAGAGGCCACCGGGGACAACCAGGACCCCGGAUCCCACUGCCAGUUUUUCGUUACCGUAGCCCGGCAGCGAGCUUAGGCUAAGGCAGUGCGUGUUCUCUGGGGAAGGGCUUUGCGGACUCCGACCAACCCCACGGCGUAACCAGGGCUUGAGUGAAGAAGACAACAAUAAUGGGAGGAACUGGGGGACCUCUGCGGACGUGGGCCGGCGCGGGACCCGGACCCCAACAGGCGGCGAGCGCGAGGGCAGGGAGGCUCCGUGGGCUCUGGCGGGGUCUCAGGCGCGGGGGUCGUUGCGUGCGCUCGUGCGCGUGCCCGCGAGGACUGGGUGCCCCCGCGUCCGUUAGCUGUGGGGGUGCCGCCGUGACCUAGGCCUCGGCUCGGCUUCCAGCCGCCGCGCGGGUCCGCACCGGGCAGGUGGGCCGGCGCCAGGGCGGUUACCAAGCCCUCGAGUGAUGUUCUCCCGCAGGAGAUGCAGAACUAAGAUUGCACGAGUUCUCUGUCGCGUGUGUGUGUUUAUCCAGUCACUCCUGUAUUUGAGAGAGCGAGGGAGACAGACAGGUCCCCCUUCCGCGGGCGCGCUCCCCAGAUGCCCUCAACGGCCAGGUGUGGGCCAGGCCGGAGCCUGGAGCCCGCGCUGCCUCCCAGGGGUGCGCCAGCAGGAAGCCGGUCUGGGUGGCCUCGGGCUGCGGGAUGCGGUGUCCCGGCACCGUGCUGACCGCUGCUGACCUUUCUGAGCCAGAGGGGUCUUCAAGGGACCUCCCGCGCGGAGACUGCGCCUCCUGCCAGGCUGGGAGCUUGGGGAAGCAGCGCCCGGCUCCCUUUCCCUCCGUUGGUUCUGGAUGUGAGGCUGUGCUGGGAAUGGCCGUGCGCACGAUCAGAGCUCAAGACCGUGCAGCUGGCUGGGUCAGGGACGCUCACGUGAUGGACUGGUGGGCGGUGGAUAGGGUUAGUCCUGAGAAGGGGUACCCGUGUGAGCCCGAGAUGUGCACAGUUACGGGCAGUGGUAGUCAAGAAGUGUUUAAGUUCUUUAGGAAUCCCAUCUAAAUAUGAGAUUUUCUAAGAUAUUUUGCAAGGUUCUUGUGGGCAAUAUUUUGGUUAUUUAGUGAAGGAGAACAGGGGUUUGGCAAGUUUGUGAGCAUCUUUUCCGUAGGCAAGAUUCCGUCCACUUUGCAUUCAUUCUCUUAGUCUAUAACCAACACUUAGCCAGAGUUAUGUCUUCCAGAGAAGACUCUUGUUAGUGAAUGAGCCUAAUUAUAUUGAUAAAGUACAAUUAAUGGAUGUGCAUAUGAAAUUUCUGAAGGCAGAGUUAAUACAGACUUGUGAAAAAAAUGAGUAACCUGAAGAUAGAAUAGUUAUUAUUUAGGGAUGCAUCUCCCUCUUUCUUGCUAGCUUGUGACUAGGGUUCUGUUUUGUGUCUAGAAUAGAAUCACACCGCUUAUGUUAGGAAGCAAAAGACUCUUAAUUCUUAGUUUAAAAAGGAGGCUGUGGACUUCAUACCCUGCGCAUGCGUGCUCCAGGAAGAGACGAGCGCGCCCUGAGCCUCCUGUUGUCUGAAAAAGACCCUCGAGGCUGGCGUGGCCCAGCAGGCCGGGCCACCACUUGCGAUGCUGACGUCCUGUGUUGGAGUACCUACUGCACCUGCAAAAGUAGCAGAAGAUGGUCCAAGUGCUUGGGCCCCUGCCAUCUGUAUGGGAGACCUGGAUGGAUGGAAUUCCUGGUUCCUGGCUUUGGUCUGGCUCAGACCUGGCUGUUGCCACCAUUUGAAGAGUGAACCAAUAGAUGGAAGAUCUCUUUCUCUUUCUGCCUCUCCCUCUCCCUCUCUCUCUCCUUCUGACAUUCUGCCUUUCAAAUAAGUAAAUCAUUGAAAAAUUGUAUUAUCUCUUUUAAGGAUUAUAGCAGUGUUAUGUAAAAGCUGUUAGUGCAGGUAAAAGGAUUUCCAAAGACCUGUCGUACAAAUUACUUUCCCAGUGACAAGCUUUGAUAUUUCCAGCCAUCAUAUCAGAGUGGGGCCUCUUUAGUUGCUGGAGGGUGGGAGAAAUUUAAGUGUCAAUUCAAGUGUCUUUUCUGUUUUUUUUUUUUUUAAGAAUGAUUUUUUUUAAUUAUUUAUUUGAAAGGCAGAGUUAGAGGCAGAGAGAGAGAGAGAGAGAGAGAAAUAAAAGUCUUCCAUCCACUGGUUCACUCCCCAAAUGGCUGCAAUGGCUGGAGCGGAGCUGAUCGAAUGCCAGGAGCUGGUUUGGGGUCUCUGUGGGUGCAGGGGCCCAAGCACUUGAGCCAUCUUCCACUGCUUUCCCAGGCCAUCGCAGAGAGCUGGAUCGGAAGUGGAGCAGCUGGGACUCAAGCUGGCACCUAUAUGAGAUGCUGGCACUGCAGGAGGCGACUUUACCUGCUACACCACAGUGUCAGCCCUGUAGAACGAUAUUCUUAAGGCUACUUUCUAAAUUUUGUAUUUAAAAUUAUAAUAAAGCAUGCCAGAGAGAUGUGUCCAUAAAAAAUAGAAGCAAAGUUCUUCUUUUGUAAAAAUGAAAUAAAGGGCAUGUAAUGUUCUUCAUAUAAUAAAUUCAAUAAUAACAGCUAGCUCAUGUUAUACAAUUCUUCUAUUAAGUGUUUUCUGUGGGUUUUCUUAUUCUUCAGGAGAACCAUAUGUAGUGACUGGUGUUCUUAACCCUGUAUUAGUGAUGAGAAAAUCGAGCCUGAUCGAGUUCUUCUAUUUUCUCCACUUGUCCUGUCUUGGCUGACCUCACCCUCUCCUGGCACCAUGAAGAAAGUUCUGGCUUGGGUGAUAUGAACUGUUUUUCAACAUCCAGAGUAUUAGGGUGGAACGAGGAGAAUCUGUCAAGGGGAGCCAUGGAGCCCAGUGUCAGGCGUAGAUCAGCCCCUCCAGAGGGGCCUGGCGGGAACACUGCAGGAAGAGGUCUGCCCUGCGUGCAGCUGUGAGCGGCUGGGUUCCGUGGGCUUCGACCCCCACCCCCCUUCCCAGAUCUUGUCUGCAGGUGGUCGUAGCCUGUAAGGAGGCUGACAGGGAGGGACGAGGAGGUUUAUUGGCUUCCUUCAUCUGUGGACAUCGAAGCCUCCUUUUCUUCCAGCUUGGGUUUCCCAGAGUCUGAUAGAACUCCAACAGAGACGGAUUGGUUCUCACCUUCCUAAAGGCAUGGCUCACAUAAGUCGGUGUUUCUCCUUGAAAUGCUGGGAUUUGUAGGUUACAUAAGUAUUUUUCAUGAAUUAGCCUGAAGUGUUCUGCCUAAGACGGCACCAUCUAAUCACCUACCUCUUGAAUUCCUGCUGUUUGGAGGAAUGAUGCCAAGUACCUGUUUCCUCCUUAUGAGACUGUUUUUUUUUCUAACUGACGUUCAUGCAUUCAUUGAGUAAAUUACGGAGCAGGUACGAUGUGGGAUAUCUUGCCGGGGGGCUACCAUAGGGCAGUGAAGGAGUGAAAUGUCCUAGAAAAUUGUUUAAGCUCCCGGGGCAGUCUGUGGCUGGGGAGUUAAGAGCCAUGGGCUUCAUCUGAUGGCUUCAUUGGACCACAUGUCAGAAGAUUUGGAAUUCCCCAGGGACCUGAGAAGAUGACUGAUCACCUUGUUAAUAGGAUGAGAUCUCAUGUCAAAGUGCCAGUUUGUGUUCCAGCUGUUCUGCUUCUGAUCUAGCUCCCUGCUGAUGCGCCUGGGAAAGCAGUGGAUCAUAGUCCAAGUUUUUGGGCCCUGCCCCCUACAUGGGAGACCCUGCAUGGAGUUCCAAGUUCCAGGCUUUGGCCAUUGCAGCCAUCUGGGGAGUGAAUCAGGGAAUGAAUGCUUUCUCUCUUUCCUCUCUCUAUUACUGUGCCUUUCAAAUAAAUAAAUAAUCUUAAAAAAAAAAAAAAGCAGGGGCACCAGUUAGAGUCCCCACUAAUCCAUGUCCGAUCCAGCUCUCUGCUAUGGCCUGGGAAAGCAGUAGAAGAUGGCCCAAGUCCUUGGGCACCUGCACCCAUGUGAAAGACCUGGCUCCUGGCUUCGGAUUGGCACAGCUCCGGCUGUUUCAGCCAACUGGGGAGUGAACCAGUGGAUGGAAGACCUCUCUCUCUCUGCCUCUCCUUCUCUCUGUGUGUAACUCUGACUUUCAUAUAAAUAAAUAAAUCUUUUUUUAAAAAAAGCAGGAAGAAGUGUUGAGAAAGGGAUACCAAAUAACAAUGUGAAAGUAUUUUCUUAGAUUGACAGAAUUAGACCAAGCUGAGACAUUUGGUUCAGUGUAUAUUUACAAAGAUGAAGUAAUUUGCCAACUCUUACUCCCAUUCUUAAGAUGACUUUUAGGCCAGUUAUGGAACUCCAUCAGAUUCCCAGCUCGGUGGCAGAGACCCAACGACUUGGGCCAUCACCUGCUGCCUCCCACAGUGUACAUUAGCAAGAAGCUAGAAUUGGAAGUGGAGCUGGUACUAGAACUCAGGUGUUCUGAUACAGGGUGUAGACAUUGCAAAGUGGUAUCAUACCACUUCGCCAAAUAUCCAUCCCAAUUUUUUUACCCACUUUGUUGAGCUAUGACUGACAUACAAAAAGCUGUACAUAUUUAAUUAAUAUAAUUUGAAGAGUUUAGGAACCCAUGAAUCUGAUAUUUUCCUUCCUUUUUGGCACAAGAUAUCUGAACUUUACCUAUACCUUCUCUGUCUCACUCUAGACAUUGUUUCAAGGAUUCCCUCAUUCAUAUUAGUGGAUUGACAAUGAUUGCCCUUUAACAUCCUGAUUUAACUUAUUUUGUCCAAUGAUUUUGUUUGUUGCUUGUUAUCAGCCAAUUCCUUCUGUAUAUCAAUGGGUUAUAGUUUUGUGCUGAUUGACAUGGGUUGGGCCCACUCUUGAAGAAUGUAUUAAUGUGUACUGCUUGUAACAAACUAUGCUUGUAAUAAACUAUCAUAGACUUAGUAGCUUAAAACCACCCUCAAUUGUAGUUCUAUAGAGUAGAAGUUCAGUGCAGCAUAGCCAAGUCAAGAUAUCAACUACAGCUGGCAUUGUGGCGUACAUGUUGAGCUGCUGCUUGUUAUACAAGCAUCCCAUAUUGGAGCUUCAAGUCCCAGCUGCUCACUUCUGAUUCAAUUCCAUUAAUGUGCAUAGGAAGGCAGCAGAGAGUGGCCCAAUUGCUUGGGACCCUGCUACCCAUGUGGGAAACCCAGCUGGAGUCACUGGCUCCUGUCUUUGGCCUGGCCCAGACCUGGCUAUAGCAGCCAUUUAGGGAGUGAACCAGUGGAUAGAAGAUCUGUGUUCCUCCCCUUCUGCCUGUCACUCUGCCUUUCAAAUAAGUUAAUUAAGUAAAUAUGUGGAGAAAAAACUGAUAUCAACCAUAGCUGCUGUUCUUUGGGGCUCAGGGUCCUCUUCCGAGCUCACCGGUUACUGGCAGAAUUUAUCUCUGUCUGGCAGGAGCCAUCCUUCUCACGCUGUGACUAUCCUGACUUCCCUUCUGCUAAAUCUCUCUGACUUCUUGCACCCCCAGCAAGGAAAAAGCUCUGCUUUGAGGGCCCAUCUGGAGUGAUCUAGUCCCUAUCAUAAAUCAACUGAUAAGUAUUUCUUUGCCAUGUGAUACAACAUAUUCACUGGCUUAGCAAGUGGGCAAAGGGCAUGAGAGCUAAAAUAAUGUCUAGUACAGGGAGUUUGGGAGAAAUAAAUGAAGAAUAUAUUGCUAUUUAUAUACUGAAAGCCAGUGGGAAAGCAAAGAAAUGAAGUAAUAGGAACAGAAAAUAAAGAAAUGAAUGUUCUUAGACAAAGCCAGCAGCUUACAACAUUCUUGGUGCAAUGACAUUUUACCUUAAACAUGUAUAGGACGAGAAAGAUCUGGUCUGCAAAGAACCCAUGCCAAAGGCUUUCUGGGAAAUGAUACCACCUACACAUGGAACCAAAAGAUGAGAAAGCUUGUGAUACAUUCUAGGUGCUGAAAGGGGAAGUGAUGUGAAUAGGAACCAAGAGAAAUGUGGCCUGGCAUGAGGCCUGAUAGGUAAGCAAGGACCACAUUAUUUAUGAAAAGUUAGAUGGAUUUUAAUUUAAGUACAGAGAGAAAUGUGGAGGAGGGGAUGGAGGGAUGAAAUAUAGGUUACACAAGUGAAAAUUUCAUCUGUGUCACAAGCAUUUGUUACAGAUGUUAAAAAUUUGAUGCACAGGUAGACCUGUAGACUAAUGGAAGAGAAUAGAAACCCCAGACAUGAAUCCACAUAUCUAUAUCUACAACAAACUCAUCUUUGGCAAACUAGCUAAAAUCAUUUCCUGUAUAAAUGAUAGUCUCUUCAAUAAGUGGUGUUGGGAAAACUGGAUUUCCACACGCAGAAGUUUGAAACAAGAUCCCUACCUUAAACCACAUACAAAAUUCAACUCAAUGGAUCCAGGAUCUAAACUUAAGACCUGAAACCAUUAAAUUACUAGAGGAAGACAUAGGUGAACUGCUCUAAGACAUUGGCCUAGGCAAAGACUUCUUGGAUAAGACUCCAGAAACACAGGCCAUGAAAACAAAAAUUGACAAAUGGGAUUACAUCAGGCUAAAAAGCUUCUGCACAGCAAAGGAAACAAAUAACAAAGUGAAGAGGCAACUGACAGAAUGGGAGAAAAUAUUUGCAAACUGCAUUCAAUAAAGGAUUAAAAACAUACAGAUGACAUAAGGAGCUCAAGAAGCCCAACAACAACAAAACAACCUGCUAAGAAAUGGGCAAAGGAUAUGAGCAGGCAUUUUUCAAAGGAUAAAAUGCAGAUAGCAACAGACAAGUGAAAAAAUGCUCAGGAUCACUAGCCAUCUAGGAAAUGCAAAUCAAAACCACAAUGAAGUUUCACCUCACCCCAGUUAGAAUGUCUUACAUAGAGAAAUUAACAAACAAUAAGUGAUGGUGAGGAUGUAGAGAAAAAGGUACCCUAAUACGUUGAUGGGAAUGCCAGUUAAACAGUAUGGAGAUUCCUCAGAAAAUAAAAAUAAAUCUUCCAUAUGACCCAGCUAUUUCACUCUUUGGAAUAUAUCCAAAAGAAAUGAAAUCAGCAUAUGAAAGAAUUGCCUGCACUCUUGUGUUAAUAGCAGUUCAACUCACAAUAGCUAACAUUUGGAAUCAACCUAGAUGUCCAUCAGCUGAUGGGCAGACAUAUCCACCCAUACACACACACACACAUAUACCUAUAUACCAAAUGUAUAUAUCCAUGAUGAAAUAUUACUUAGUAUUAAAAAAAUGAAAUAUAUCUACAACAGAAUGAAUACAACUGGAAAUCAGUGUGCUAAGUGAAAUAAGCCAAACCCAAAAGAUAAAUAUCACAGAUUUUUUUCUUAUUUGUGAUAGUUAAUAUAAUAGUAUAAAAAUUAUGUGGAUGUCAUAUAAUUUGGCAAUAAGUUAUAAAUAUUGUUUCACUUAAUCAUACCAUGUGAAUGACAAUAUACUCUUCUUUCCCACAUUAAAAGAAAGAUAGGACUCUUAGGGGUACUAGUAAUGUUUUGUUCUUGGGUGUUGGCUAGGAGUGUGAUCAGAGAACAAAGAACUCAUCUGUAAUCUUACAUGCAUUUCUUGGUAUGUUUAUUAUAUUUCAGUAAAAUGCUUUUUUAAAAAAAAUAGAUGCACAGGAACAUUCAUUCGCUGUGUAUUCUGGUUCAGGGGGUCUGGAGGGUGCUUGAAUGUCAAUGUUUUAAUUAGCUCUUCAAAUAAAGUGACACCUGUUUCACUAAUAA